rnacentral:misc_RNA from 1 species
CCUCCUUUCUAAGGAAUAAAAAUUUUUACCGUCCUCGACUCUCUUCCAAUUAUUAAAAUUAGGGAGCAUCCCAUUAUGGGCGAUUAGCUCAGGUGGUAGAGCACACCCCUGAUAAGGGUGCGGUCGCUGGUUCAAGUCCAGCAUCGCCCACCAAAAUUUUAAUAAAAAACGAGAGUUUAAUUUUAUAUUAAUCUGUUUGAAAUUGUUUGUGAAAUCUCAAUUAUUAAAUAAUAUUUGAUAAUUUCUUUUAGACUGUACUGAACUAGAUUUAUUGUUCAAUGUAGAAGUAAUGGUCCGUCUGACCGGUCUCUACUUUCAUGUACGGUCUGAUCAAGUGUCUAUAAGAGCAUUUUAGUGGAUGCCUUGGCACAGAGAGGCGAUGAAGGACGUGACACGCUGCGAUAAGCUGUGGGGAGUUGUGAGUAAGCUUUGAUCCGCAAAUUCCGAAUGG